UUAGCGGCGGACGGGUGAGUAACACGUGGGUAACCUACCUAUAAGACUGGGAUAACUUCGGGAAACCGGAGCUAAUACCGGAUAAUAUUUCGAACCGCAUGGUUCGAUAGUGAAAGAUGGCUCUGCUAUCACUUAUAGAUGGACCUGCGCCGUAUUAGCUAGUUGGUAAGGUAACGGCUUACCAAGGCAACGAUACGUAGCCGACCUGAGAGGGUGAUCGGCCACACUGGAACUGAGACACGGUCCAGACUCCUACGGGAGGCAGCAGUAGGGAAUCUUCCGCAAUGGGCGAAAGCCUGACGGAGCAACGCCGCGUGAGUGAUGAAGGUCUUCGGAUCGUAAAACUCUGUUAUUAGGGAAGAACAAACGUGUAAGUAACUGUGCACGUCUUGACGGUACCUAAUCAGAAAGCCACGGCUAACUACGUGCCAGCAGCCGCGGUAAUACGUAGGUGGCAAGCGUUAUCCGGAAUUAUUGGGCGUAAAGCGCGCGUAGGCGG
rnacentral:rRNA from 1 species